GUAGUCUCGCACAGAUGCAUAUCAAUAAGCGGAGGAAAAGAAACUAACAAGGAUUCCCCUAGUAACGGCGAGUGAAGCGGGAAGAGCUCAAAUUUGAAAUCUUAAAGGAUUUCCCUUUACGAAUUGUAGUUUAAAGAAGUGUUUUCUGUUGAGGUUUUGGUAAAAGUUCUUUGGAAUAGGACAUCAUAGAGGGUGAGAAUCCCGUAUUUGACCUUUACUUUCAACUUUGGGAUACACUUUCAAAGAGUCGGAUUGUUUGGGAAUGCAGUCCAAAAUGGGUGGUAAAUUUCAUCUAAAGCUAAAUAUUGGCGAGAGACCGAUAGCGAACAAGUACCGUGAGGGAAAGAUGAAAAGAACUUUGAAAAGAGAGUUAAACAGUACGUGAAAUUGUCAAAAGGGAAGCGUUUGACACCAGUGUUGUUUUUCUGAAAAUCAAUUAAAGAACUGUUUAUGCUAAGCUGUUUAGACUUUAUCAGCUAUCUGUUUAGUUUUGAGCUUUUCUUUAAUGCACUUUUCAGUUAACAAGUCAACAUCAAUUUCUUUUGCUGUAAAAAAGCUUGAGGAAGGUGGCUUGAGAUUCGUCUUAAGUGUUUAUAGCCUCUUGCCUAUGCAGUCGGAGAGAUUGAGGUCUGCAGCGUAGAUCCUUCGGGGCUAAAUGCAUUUGUGCUAAGCUAUAGCAUUUUAUAGACAACUUGUUGACUAUGAUUUGUCUUGUAGCUUACUCGCUUAUGUUAUUUUACCUACGCUUAGGAUGUUGACGCAUGAGAUAUACGC
rnacentral:rRNA from 1 species